UCUGGAUCAUCUCAGGCACUGCUCUCCUUUGUCAUUCAAUAUAUUUUGUCUGAACUGCCAUGAAGGCACAUUCAGUUGGUCUAUUCAAAUUAUAAGUAAAUCAGGAAUGAUGUUCCUGAUAAGAUAACUGUAAAAUAAUACUAUUUAACGUCCAUCCCUCAUACUACCUGACAAACUACCCAUGUACUAACCUCACUAUUUGAUCAUCAACCAAGGUAAAGCCCUCUUUCUUUUAUGGCUUCUGUGUUUAAUUCGGUUCUGAGUUAUUAAUAUUAAGGACUUUUGCAUACUUUCUGAGACAUACUUUAAGUCUAAAGUUAUGGAUUAUUUUAUUAUAGCUUAACAUUAAAUCAAGAAGAGAAAAAAAAAUUUAAAUAACUGAAAAAAAACAUUUCUAAUGCAGUGGCAAUCAUUUGUUGCACAGUUCCAAAGCAAAGCAUAUAGCAAACAUGCCUUAAUGUGUUGCUUUUUCAAAGGAGCUUGUAAAAAUGAAGAGCUUGAACAAGUUUGUUUUGAUCAUUCUGCUUCUCCAACCGUGUCUUGCUGUGCCUGAGCAGGUUCCAGUAGAAAAUCUUGUGUUUGGAGACAUGCUUACAUUUCCAUGUUAUGGAACUCUCUAUGAGCACUAUGCUGUAUAUGUUGAUAAUGUGCCAAUACAAGGAAAGGAAGAAGGACAAAACAUUUUUGAGAUGACAAGAAAUCCAUCUGGCUGCCGAUUUAAUACAGUGACAGGAAUCGUUAAUAGAAAAAACUAUUUAGACAAUCUUCAAAACAGAGAUAAUAUUUAAACACAACCAGAAAUGAUAAACUCCAUUAUACAACUAAUGAAUGGAGGAUGUGGAACAUGGUCACUUGGAAACAACUGUGAACACAUUGCCACACUUGUUCGACAUGGCGAAGUUCAAUCACAGUGCAAUCAGGUAUGCCAUAAAGUAGGCUAAAUGUAAAAUCA
ensembl:lncRNA